AGCGAACGCUGGCGGCAGGCUUAACACAUGCAAGUCGAACGCCCCGCAAGGGGAGUGGCAGACGGGUGAGUAACACGUGGGAACGUACCCUUUGGUUCGGAGUAACUUGGGGAAACUCAAGCUAAUACCGGAUAAGCCCUUAUGGGGAAAGGUUUACUGCCGAAGGAUCGGCCCGCGUCUGAUUAGCUAGUUAGUGAGGUAAUGGCUCACCAAGGCGACGAUCAGUAGCUGGUCUGAGAGGAUGAUCAGCCACACUGGGACUGAGACACGGCCCAGACUCCUACGGGAGGCAGCAGUGGGGAAUAUUGGACAAUGGGGGCAACCCUGAUCCAGCCAUGCCGCGUGAGUGAUGAAGGCCUUAGGGUUGUAAAGCUCUUUUACCCGGGACGAUAAUGACUGUACCGGGAGAAUAAGCCCCGGCUAACUUCGUGCCAGCCGCCGCAGUAA
rnacentral:rRNA from 1 species